ensembl:lncRNA LOC120095254 uncharacterized LOC120095254
CAAGGAUUGAGAGCUGAAGCUUCUGUAAGCUGAAUGGAAGAAAAUCCUUUCUCUGAAAAUGAUCUAGCAUGCAUUUUGGUCAUAGCAUCCUAAAAGCAAUACACAAGGAUUUUUAAAUCCAUGGCUAAAGCAGGAGGGACAGAACAAAUGAAGUGAUAUGAAGAAUCUUCUAUUGCUUUAUUGAAGAAAUCACUUUCUAAUUUGGGUCCAUCUCCAUCAUUACACAAACAUUAAAAAGGCCACUUGAGUCUGCAAAUCCGGCAGCGGCGGGGCUACGGUCAAGGACGACUCGCGGCGUCUAAGGACGUGUCCCCAGCUUCUCCGACCAGCAGAGUGUGAUGACAGGCUUCGUCCAUGGGCCAAGGAGCCUGAAAAUAGACCCCUGAAGCAAUGAAGGAAAGCACUGAAGAUGUUCAUGACAGUGAACUUCCGUGUGUGAUUCUAUAAUGAAACACACACAUCACCACCACCACUGCCACAGCCGCCGCCACAACAAUAACCACAACUACCACCAUCAUCACCACCCACCACCAUCACCACAACCACUGCCACUACCACAACAACCGCCACUACAACAACAACCACAGCCAUCACUAUCACCCCCAACAUCGCCACCUACAACACCACAAUCACCACCACCACCUCUUCAACCACCACCAUUGUGUUUGUCCGUCAGAUAGAAUGUUUGUCAAGGAUAAAACCUAAUGUGAACUGUAGACACAGAGUGAUUAUGUCAAUGGAGAUUCAUGUAUGCUAACCCGGUGAAAAUUAUUGACAAUGGCAGAGGCUAAGAAAGAGGGGGAGCAGAACAUAGAAAAGUACUUUCCUCUUAGAAUCACUGUGCAUCUUAAUGGCGCCUUUAAAUUUUAUAUGUAUAUUAGACAUAUAUAUAUACAUAUAUAUAUAGAGAGAUGAUAGAUAGAUAGAUAGAUAGAUAGAUAGAUGAUAGAUAGAUAGAUAGAUAGAUAGAUAGAUAGAUAGAUAGAUAGAUAGACAUGUGAAUGUCUUUGUAUCCUUUUCCCUUCCUCUCCAAACUCCUGAGACUAUUAAUUACUCUUUGUCAUCUAACUGAUCUUGCAUGCUAUGCAAGUUGUAAAUGUUCUGAACUCACUACUGGCUUUGGAUUACUUGGAAAGACUCUGGCCCCUUCCUACACAAAACUGGAGUAAUCUAGAAUGAUCUAGAAAAGACUCUACUUUCUACAUAGAAGUUUCCUGUCUAGUCUGCUUGGUCCUGAUGCCAUUGGAUGCUAGACACUUGCUAGUAAAUUCAUGUUCCUUGUGUACUUGCCUAUGGGUAAAUUUCAUACUUGUUUAUCUUUUAAGCUACAUCUGGUUGUUUCCUUAAGUUUUCAACAACAUAACCCUUUUUACCUGGCAAAGCUAUGCUAUAGACACUAUAUAAGUUAUGCUAUUGUUCUUUAGAUAUUUAAAAGAAAGCACAGAUUAAGUAACUUGCUUUUGUUCACACAGUUGGCAAGUAGUACGGCCUGGAUUUUAAUUUAGGAUAUCUUUCAGUACCUCGCUUGUCAUCAGUAUCCUACUUAGACUCUUCUAUGUGUUUUUGUUAGCUUUGAGCUGACAGUGAGUAGUCUCCAUUAUACAUGUUCUAACUUCUUAACCUUUUCAUAACCCUGCUGAGUACCUCUUCCUUUACAAAAUGCUGAUCUUUGCCCCUCAAUUAAUGUCUCAUUCUCAUUUAUGAUGGCUGUAGCCAAGUAUUUCAUGAUCCUUUACUCAACUGCUGAAUCUUUCUAAAUGUGUCCUUAAAUAUUAGUAGACUUACUGAGUUUUCAGCCAACUCUGUCUUGCUCUUAUGGGACACUGAUGCUUAACCUCUUAGAAUGAGCCAUUCUUGGCCCUGGAGUCCUCUUAAAGUGUCUUUGGGUUAAGCAUUCCUAUGUAACCUUUCUAUUAAAUUUACUGGCUCAUACCCAAGGUCUAUCAACUGCUGUGACCAGGUGGCUUUAAUCAGUGUCCCUGCCCUUAGCCUCCACUUUUCAUCUAACCUACUUGAAUUGUUGACUCUUCUCAUCAGAAUUUAUUCCCAGGCAAUGCGUAUUUCUUUCUAUCCUCUGUGUCCUUUUAAUAAGCAAUGUCUUUUGACUAUGGAUUCAAAUGCCCUGUAAGUUUGGAUGCACAGUUACUUUAUUUAAUCGGCUGUCACCAUUUUCAUAUUCCUUGUAGGUUUAGUUGUUUCUCCUCUCCCUCUACAUCUCCCUCUCUCUUUCUCUUCCUUCCCUAAUUUUUGUUGGUCUUUUAUUAAUAUUGGUUCUAUGUUCUCACCUGUAUAUUUAUGGUUUGGCUAUGAACUUUUAAUAUAAUGAUUAAGAUUUUGGAAAGAUGUACACCUCUGUCUUGUGUCUUAAUUUCUGAUUUCUGUCAUAUUAUGAAAGUUUAAUAAAAACUGAAUGACUCAAUGAACUGCAAACCUGAUUUUAGAUGUUUAAGGUAUAAUGUAGAGUACAAUUUAGAAUCAGGACCAUCAAGACAAUUAGUUAAGUUCCUCACUUUAAUAGGUAUAUAGUACAGUGUAAAAAUACAUUUUGUUUAUUUGUUUCAGAUUUAUACAUUAUAACCAACAGUGAUUGUAACACACAUUUAAUCUCAGAAUAGACUGCUAAACCCUCAGGGCAAGUUAGCUAUUACUAAAAACUGAAGCUUUAUUUGACAAGUAUAAAAAAAACCUAGCAAAUCCUAAGGGAAAUGCUUUUCAGGGCAUUGGAAAUACUUUAUGAACUAUUAAUGUUACGUUAGGUGUUAGGACUACCAACAGAUGGUCGACAGACAAAACAGUAAGCAAACAAACCUCAUCAUUGUUAUUUCUUCUUUAUAUUUUUACACCCCCUAGACAAUCUUGUUGAUACUUAAUUACCCAAUUCAUAUUGCUUUCCUAGCUCACAUGGGUCUUAUCUGGGUCUCUGGAAGCUUGGUCUGGACAUUGCCCUUCACUCUAUCCCUAGAAAACACUGAACCAACAUUAAAAAAAAAUAGUAGCUUUACAGGUUUUUUUUAUUUUAAAUUUUAGAUAGUGUUCAUAUUAGUUUUUAUAGCCUUGGUAAGCUAUUUUCUAAUACUUUUCUAUAUCUAGAGUACACAUAAUUUUAUGUACUGGGCAGGAUUAUUGGUGGGUGGGUUAAGUAGCCAAAGCUGUUGAGCAUGUAGUAAGUGCUCCAAUGUACGCUACUAUGUCUGGUAUAUGAUAGUUUAUCCCUGGUUAUCUAUGUAUUGCCAUCAGUAAUUGCUAUUCAAAUGGCUUCUAUGGUGCUUAAUAAAAUAACCUGCCUUUUUUGUCCCGUAUGGUUAUCUGUAUAACACAUUAUGUUAUGGAAAUGUAUUUCUUCAAUUUUCCAAAAAAAAAAAAUAAAGAAAAAGUUAUCCAUCAUAUAACUUGGGUCUUAAAAUUAAUUGAUCUGGAU